UACGAAGGGGGCUAGCGUUGUUCGGAAUCACUGGGCGUAAAGCGCACGUAGGCGGAUUGGUCAGUUAGGGGUGAAAUCCUGGAGCUCAACUCCAGAACUGCCUUUAAUACUGCCAAUCUCGAGUCCGGAAGAGGUAAGUGGAACUCCUAGUGUAGAGGUGGAAUUCGUAGAUAUUAGGAAGAACACCAGUGGCGAAGGCGGCUUACUGGUCCGGUACUGACGCUGAGGUGCGAAAGCGUGGGGAGCAAACAGG
rnacentral:rRNA from 1 species